rnacentral:piRNA from 1 species
UGUGGUACAUGGACUACGACGCCUUCC